GAAAAGGUUUAUCUUAUAAGCUUGCAUAGAUUACUGGAACAAAGUCAACAGUGGAUUUGUUGAUUAAGCAAGGGAUCUUUAACCCCCAUAAAAUUUUCAUUCCACCACAGUGGAGUAAACAGGGUCACAUGGCUGCUCUGCUGUUGUAAGCUUAAUAUCUGCGUAUAAUGACAGUAGCAUUUUCCACAGAGGAAAAACACAGUGACACACCCUGCAGUUAUCAGUUGGGAGCAGACACUGCCCUUAAAAUACACAUUACAACAAGGCCUGAGAGCCCAGAGGAGCAUCAUAUUAGCUAGUUUUUCCAGCCACCAUUCAAGCUUGGCUUGAGUGGUCACUAGACCAACUUAGCUCUCUCUUGGCUGGACCACCAUUUUAUACCACCCCCCUCCCUUUGGGUCUGAGGGGCCCUCCCAAAAAGACAAAAAAGCGGAUGGGGGUGGCCUCUACUCCUUAACCAAUCACUUCUGGAGGACUCCUGUGUGGAAGGGGCUUGAUAUAAAGAUCUUGGCCUCUACUGCAUGUGGGUGCAUUCCCUUCCACAGGCCUCUCAAGAUUCAUAACAUACAAGAAGAAGCUGACCUACUUAUCUAACCAAACACACACUGCUGCUGGUCUCCAAGGUCUUCUACACACAAUGGAUAGAACACACUAAAGGUUCCACAGGGACUUCCAGCAGGCAGCAUGAGCAGUGUGAACUCCCCCGCCUGUCUGCUGGCACGAAACCAAUUCUACAGGACCAUCAGUCCCACUGAUAAAGAGAAGCCUGGGUGCAGUUCCUCUGAUAACCUGAAACAACCAAUGCAAAGUCAGGGGACUGUCUGGGUGAUCACUUCCUCACACCAAGGUACAGUAUGAAAACAAAAACAGCCAUGCGAGGCAUCCCAACAAUGAUUAUUCACAAACAAUUCAGUGCAUGAAUCUACAGCUGGCUCUACGUGGUCAAACCAAAGUUAGUUAAAGGGAAGACUGGCCACUAAACGGCAGCUAAAUGGGGCUAAACGGCAUGAUGAAAAGUAAACAUAGUUUCUAACCACUUGUGCAAG
ensembl:lncRNA